rnacentral:rRNA from 1 species
UUCUUAAUGAAAUUAUUUUAAGUAUAACCUGCUCAAUGAACUAUUUAAAUAGCCGCGGAAAUUUAACCGUGCUAAGGUAGCAUAAUCAUUUGUCCUUUAAUUAAGGACUAGUAUGAAUGGUUAAACAUUUAAUUUCUUUAUUAAUUUUAUUAUUUUUAACUUAAAUUAAGAAUAAAAAUGUUCUUAUUUAUUAAAUAGACGACAAGACCCUUUUGAACUUUACUUAUGUUAAGCUGGGGCAGCUUAAUAAAAAUUACUUUAUUUUUGUUUAAUUUUAUAAAUGACCCAAUUUAAUUGAUUUUUUGAUCAAGUUACCAAAGGGAUAACAGCGUAAUAUUUUACUUAAGCUCUUAUUUAAUAAAUUGAUUGCGACCUCGAUGUUGAAUUAUUGUUACUUUAUAAAUGUAGUAAUUUUAAAAGUAGGUCUGUUCGACCUUCAAAACAUUACAU